UACAGAGGAGCCAAGCGUUGUCCGGAUUGACUGGGCGUAAAGCGCACGCAGGCGGUCGUGCGCGUGGGGUGUGAAAUCUGGCCGCUUAACGGCCAGGCGCCAUCCCAUACGGCACGACUGGAGGGCUGCAGAGGUCGAUGGAAUUGCCGGUGUAGUGGUGAAAUGCGUAGAGAUCCGGAGGAACACCGAAGGCGAAGGCAGUGUCCUGGGGAGUACCUGACGCUCAGGUGCGAAAGCUAGGGGAGCGAACGGG
rnacentral:rRNA from 1 species